UACGGAGGGGGCUAGCGUUGUUCGGAAUUACUGGGCGUAAAGCGCGCGCAGGCGGCUAUCCAAGUCAGUGGUGAAAGCCCGGAGCUCAACUCCGGAACUGCCAUUGAAACUGUUUAGCUUGAGGACGAGAGAGGUGAGUGGAAUUCCCAGUGUAGUGGUGAAAUACGUAGAGAUUGGGAAGAACACCAGUGGCGAAGGCGGCUAUCUGGACGGUUUCUGACACUAAGACUCGAAAGCGUGGGGAGCAAACAGG
rnacentral:rRNA from 1 species